ACGAGGUGCAGAUAAGAUGUUGGGGCUGGGGGAGGUCACAUUUCCGCCUCAGCAGGAAGAAAUGGGACCUGUUGAAGGAGUCAGGGAUGUCACUCCUGACUAUAUCUUCCUACUUCUAGAGUUAAUUUUUUUUCUGCUGGCUGAUAAAUUGUUUGUUGUUUUAUUUUAUUUUCUUCAGACCAGCUGUUUUUGUUGGUACCACACGAAAAGGAGUUUUCCAGUCACCCAUUUCCCAUAUCAACGAGAAAUCUUGGCGCCCUGAGUUGACAUCUUUGCUGGAGACUGACAGCUGGAAUGAGAUGUUCAAGUGAAGAAGAUGAAGAGAAACACGUCUCUUUAAGAUACUAAAUAUGAUUGUUCAUAAAGCAACUGGAAAACAAUACAAGGUAGUGUUUAUUCAGGAGCUAAGUGGUGUGGUAUCAGUUAAGUACAAUG
rnacentral:lncRNA from 1 species